rnacentral:rRNA from 1 species
GGGUAGGGGGCGUGAGAGCGUGACCCCCCACACUGGUACUGACACACGGACCAGAUACCUACGGGUAGCAGCAGCAAGGAAUAUUGCCCAAUGGACGAAAGUCUGAGGCAGCAACGCCGCGUGGAGGAUGAAGGCCUUCGGGUCGUAAACUCCUUUUCUGGGGGAAGAGAAAGGACGGUACCCCAGGAAUAAGUCUCGGCUAACUACGUGCCAGCAGCCGCGGUAAAACGUAGGAGGCGAGCGUUAUCCGGAUUUACUGGGCGUAAAGCGCGUGCAGGCGGUUCUUUAAGUCGGACGUGAAAGCUCCUGGCUCAACUGGGAGAGGUCGUUCGAAACUAGGGAACUUGAGGGUGGUAGAGGAGAGUGGAAUUCCCGGUGUAGUGGUGAAAUGCGUAGAUAUCGGGAGGAACACCAGUGGCGAAGGCGGCUCUCUGGGCCAUUCCUGACGCUAAGACGCGAAAGCUAGGGGAGAGAACGGGAUUAGAAACCCCGGUAUUCCUAGCCGUAAACGAUGUCAACUAGGUGUAGGGGGUAUCCAACCCCCCUGUGCUGUAGCUAACGCGUUAAGUUGACCGCCUGGGGACUACGGCCGCAAGGCUAAAACUCAAAGGAAUUGACGGGGACCCGCACAAGCAGCGGAGCGUGUGGUUUAAUUCGAGACUACGCGCAGAACCUUACCAGGGUUUGACAUGGCGGUGGUAGGAAAGUGAAAGCUGACCGACCCUUCGGGGAGCCGUCACAGGUGCUGCAUGGCUGUCGUCAGCUCGUGCCGUGAGGUGUUAGGUUAAGUCCUGUAACGAGCGCAACCCUCGUCGUUAGUUAUACGUGUCUAACGAGACUGCCGGUGAUAAGCCGGAGGAAGGUGGGGAUGACGUCAAGUCAGCAUGGCCUUUAUAUCCUGGGCUACACACACGCUACAAUGGCCGGUACAAUGGGUUGCCAAGCCGCGAGGCGGAGCCAAUCCCCCAAAGCCGGUCUCAGUUCGAAUUGCAGGCUGCAACUCGCCUGCAUGAAGUCGGAGUUGCUAGUAACCGCGCGUCAGCAACAGUGCGGUGAAUACGUUCCCGGGUCUUGUACACACCGCCCGUCACGUCAUGGAAGUUGGCAACGCCUGAAGUCGCUGGGCUAACCCUAACGGGAGGCAGGCGCCCAAGGCGGGGUCGGUAACUGGGACGAAGUCGUAACAAGGUAGCUGUAGCGGAAGCUGCGGCUG